rnacentral:rRNA from 1 species
GAUGAACGCUGGCGGCGUGCUUAACACAUGCAAGUCGAACGAUGAAAGCGGGAGCUUGCUCCUGCUGGAUUAGUGGCGAACGGGUGAGUAACACGUGAGUAACCUGCCCUUGACUCUGGGAUAAGCGUUGGAAACGACGUCUAAUACCGGAUACGACCUUCGGAGGCAUCUCCUGGGGUGGAAAGAAUUCGGUCAAGGAUGGACUCGCGGCCUAUCAGCUAGUUGGUGAGGUAAUGGCUCACCAAGGCGACGACGGGUAGCCGGCCUGAGAGGGUGACCGGCCACACUGGGACUGAGACACGGCCCAGACUCCUACGGGAGGCAGCAGUGGGGAAUAUUGCACAAUGGGCGCAAGCCUGAUGCAGCAACGCCGCGUGAGGGACGACGGCC